CUCGUAGUUGGAUUUGGGUCGACCGGGCCGCCGGGCCGCCGCCUUCGUGUGGCGAGUUCCCGUGUGUCCCCGGGACCGCACGUUCACCCCCGCAGUGCUCUUAACUGAGUGUCUGCGGUAGCGGGUGACCGAACGUUUACCUUGACAAAACCGGAGUGCUCGAGGCGUGGGCGUUCGCCGCCCGUACGUCCUCGCUGGGAAUAAUGGAAGAGGACCGUUGGUCAAAAAAGGUUUUUUGUCAGAGAGGUGGGAGAGCAAAAAAGAGGUUGUGCUGGCGGGGGGUUAMAAAGGGGGGAGACUCCCUUUCCCCCUCUGGUCUUCCUCUUUCUCCUCCUCGAAACCUUCCUCCCCGCGUACGGCACUGCGGAUCGGCUGGCGCUUUAUGGUGGUAAGGGUGGUUUGAGACAGAAGGGUGAAAGCAGGUGUCCGUUUGCCGGAAGGUGAAAGCUUGACGGCCGGUCGUUUGUGGAAGCCUGGAAUCUUAUUCCCCCUCGCUGUCUUGGUGCCUCCGUACCCUCUAUGUCAGCGGGAGGAGGUCGAAAAUCAAAAUAAAAAAACGUGUCAUGAUUAAGAGGGACGGCCGGGGGCAUUCGUACCGCGGCGCGAGAGGUGAAAUUCUAGGACCGUCGCGAGACGAACGAUAGCGAAAGCAUUUGCCAAGAAUGUUUUCCUUAAUCAAGAACGAAAGUCGGAGGUUCGAAGGCGAUCAGAUACCGCCCUAGUUCCGACCUUAAACCAUGCCGUCCGACCGCCCGCCAGGGUUACUACCGCGACUCGGCGGGCGGUGACUUUCCACCGGGAAACCCUUAAGCUUUCGGGUUCCGGGGGAAGUACGGUCGCAAAGCUGAAACUUAAAGGAAUUGACGGAAGGGCACCACCAGGAGUGGAGCCUGCGGCUUAAUUUGACUCAACACGGGGAACCUCACCCGGCCCGGACACCGCGAGGAUUGACAGAUCGAUAGCUCUUUCUCGAUCCGGUGGGUGGUGGUGCAUGGCCGUUCUUAGUUGGUGGAGCGAUCUGUCUGGUUAAUUCCGAUAACGAACGAGACUCUAGCCGGUUAAGUAGCCCGAGUGGCGUGUUGUUGAUUAAAAACCGCUCUAGUGGCUUUCGGAAAGCUUGUUGGAAGCUGUCUGGCUUUAACGCUGGUGGGACGGGGAGGUGGAAGACGACGGUUGGAGCCGCGUUUAUCGCGGCUCGGAUCUAGUUUUUUUAACUUCUCUUUAAUCCUGUCGCGUUUCGGCCUUUCACUUCUGCUGGCCUCUGUUUGCCUAACUGGGGUAGAUAAAACGUUAACGAGAGUCGAGGGCAGUGGGCGUUACUAGUGGAAUGGGUGUGCGCUUCUUAGUGGGGCGUCCCCGUUCCCUGUUGCGCUUUUCUGUUUUCCUCGUCAUCUCGCGCCACCGGCUUUCGAGUGCAAAAGCUUCUUAGAGGGACGAGCGGCGUUCAGCCGCGCGAGAUUGAGCGAUAACAGGUCUGUGAUGCCCUUAGAUGUCCGGGGCCGCACGCGCGCUACACUGAAGGGGUCAACGCGCCGUCACGUUUCCCGGGCCGAAAGGCUCGGGGAACCGGUGGAACCCCGACGUAGCGUUCGUGCUAGGGACAGGGACUUGCAAUUGUGUCCCUCGAACGAGGAAUUCCCAGUAGGCGCGAGUCAUCAGCUCGCGCCGAUUACGUCCCUGCCCUUUGUACACACCGCCCGUCGCUACUACCGAUCGAACGAUUUAGCGAGGUCUUCGGACCGGCGGCCGAAGGUGCGAAAGUGCCGGCGGCUUUCGCCGGGAAGA
rnacentral:rRNA from 1 species